rnacentral:rRNA from 1 species
AGAGUUUGAUCCUGGCUCAGAAUGAACGCUAGCGGUAUGCCUAACACAUGCAAGUCGAACGGUAAGGCUUUCUUCGGAGAGUACACGAGUGGCGCACGGGUGAGUAACACGUGAGCAACCUGCCUUUAGCCCUAGGAUAACAGUUGGAAACGACUGCUAAUACUGGAUAAUAUAUUUAAUCGAUAGGGUUAAAUAUCAAAGGACACUGGAACUGAGACACGGUCCAGACUCCUACGGGAGGCAGCAGUGAGGAAUAUUGCGCAAUGGGGGGAACCCUGACGCAGCAAUACCGCGUGAGUGAGGAAGGUCCUUUGGAUUGUAAAGCUCUGUGGAGUGGGAAGAUGAUGACGGUACCACUUUAGAAAGCACCGGCUAACUACGUGCCAGCAGCCGCGGUAAUACGUAGGGUGCAAGCGUUGUUCGGAAUUAUUGGGCGUAAAGCGGAUGUAGGUGGUUUAUUAAGCCAGAUGUGAAAGCCCAAGGCUUAACCUUGGACGUGCAUUUGGAACUGGUAAACUAGAGUGUGUUAUGGGAGUGCGGAAUUCCUAGUGUAGCGGUGAAAUGCGUAGAUAUUAGGAGGAACAUUCGUGGCGAAGGCGGCACUCUGGGGCAACACUGACACUCAGAUCCGAAAGCAUGGGUAGCAAACAGGAUUAGAUACCCUGGUAGUCCAUGCCGUAAACGAUGAGGGCUAUUUGUAGGACUCCGCCUGGGGAGUACGGUCGCAAGAUUAAAACUCAAAGGAAUUGACGGGGGCCCGCACAAGCGGUGGAGCAUGUGGUUUAAUUCGAUGCAACGCGAAAAACCUUACCUGGACUUGACAUCCCCUAGACGAAUACUAGAGAUAGUAUUUUCUCUUCGGAGCUGGGGUGACAGGUGCUGCAUGGUUGUCGUCAGCUCGUGCCGUGAGGUGUUGGGUUAAGUCCCGCAACGAGCGCAACCCCUGUUUACAUUUGCCAUCAUUAAGUUGGGGACUAUGUAGAGACUGCCGGUGUUAAACCGGAGGAAGGUGGGGAUGACGUCAAAUCAUCACGGCCCUUAUGUCCAGGGCUACACACGUGCUACAAUGGUAGGGACAAAGAGCAGCGAAGCAGUGAUGUGGAGCAAAUCUCAAAAACCCUAUCUCAGUUCGGAUUGAAGUCUGCAACUCGACUUCAUGAAGUUGGAAUCGCUAGUAAUCGUGGAUCAGCAUGCCACGGUGAAUACGUUCCCGGGCCUUGUACACACCGCCCGUCACACCACGGGAGUUGUUUCAGCCAGAAGCCGUCGAGCUAACCCGCAAGGGAGGCAGGCGUCGUAGGUUGGGGCGAUGACUGGGGUGAAGUCGUAACAAGGUAUCCCUACCGGAAGGUGGGGAUG